AUUGAACGCUGGCGGCAUGCCUUACACAUGCAAGUCGAACGGCAGCACGGGGCAACCUGGUGGCGAGUGGCGAACGGGUGAGUAAUGCAUCGGAACGUACCUUUCAGUGGGGGAUAACGUAGCGAAAGUUACGCUAAUACCGCAUAUUCUGUGAGCAGGAAAGCAGGGGAUCGCAAGACCUUGCGCUGAUUGAGCGGCCGAUGUCAGAUUAGCUAGUUGGUGAGGUAAAGGCUCACCACGGCGACGAUCUGUAGAGGGUCUGAGAGGAUGAUCCGCCACACUGGGACUGAGGCACGGCCCAGACUCCUACGGGAGGCAGCAGGGGGGAAUUUUGGACAAUGGGGGCAACCCUGAUCCAGCCAUGCCGCGUGAGUGAAGAAGGCCUUCGGGUUGUAAAGCUCUUUCGGCCGGGAAGAAAUCGCACAGGUUAAUACCUUGUGUGGAUGACGGUACCGGAAUAAGAAGCACCGGCUAACUACGUGCCAGCCGCCGCUGUAAAAC
rnacentral:rRNA from 1 species